UCCCCUCGGUGUCCCCGAGGUCCCCGCGGUGUCCUCUCAGUGUCCCUCGGUGUCCCCCGGUGUCCUCCCAGUGUCCCCUGGGUGUCCCCGCGGGCUCCUGCCUCAUCCCCGGGGGUCCCAGGAUGUCCCUCGGUGUCCCCAAGGUCCCCUCGGUGUCCCCCGGUGUCCUCUCAGUGUCCCCUCGGUGUCCCCUGGGUGUCCCCGCGGGCUCCUGCCUCAGCCCCGAGGGUCCCUCGGUGUCCCCACGGUCCCCUUAGUGUCCUCUCAGUGCCCCUCGCUGUCCCCUCGCUGUCCCCUCGCUGUCCCCCCGGUGUCCCCAAGGUGCCCUCGGUGUCUCUCGUUACCCCUCGUUGCCCCUCGGUGUCCCCUCGAUGUCCCAGGGGGUCCCCCAGUGUCCCUCGGUGUCCCCUCGGUGUCCUCUCACUGUCCCCUCGUUGUCCCCACAGUCCCCUCAGUGUCCCCUCAGUGUCCCCUCAGUGUCCCCUCAGUGUCCCCUCAAUGUCCCCUCAGUGUCCCCUCAAUGUCCCCUCAGUGUCCCCUCAAUGUCCCCUCAGUGUCCCCUCAAUGUCCCCUCAGUGUCCCCUCAAUGUCCCCUCAGUGUCCCCUCAAUGUCCCCUCAGUGUCCCCUCAAUGUCCCCUCAGUGUCCCCUCAAUGUCCCCUCAGUGUCCCCUCAAUGUCCCCUCAAUGUCCCUCAAUGUCCCCUCAAUGUCCCCUCAGUGUCCCCUCAGUGUCCCCACAGUGUCCCUCGGCUGUCCCCCAAUGUCCCCUCACUGUCCCCACUGUCCUCUCACUGUCCCCUCACUGUCCCCUCGCUGUCCCCACUGCCCCUCUGUCCCCUCACUGUCACUGUCCCCAGGCACGGCNCCAUCGGCGACUUCCAGCGCGCGGGGGACGCCGGGGACGCCGCCGGUGUCCCCAAGGAGCCGCCCUCGGUGGAGGAGGUGGCCCUGGGCUUCAUCCGCGUGGCCAACGAGGCCAUGUGCCGGCCCAUCCGCGCGCUGACGCAGGUGGGUGUGCCCGGGGUCACCUGCGUCACCUGUGUCACCUGAGUGUCACCUGCGUCACCUGUGUCACUGGGGUGUCACCUGUGUCACCUGAGUGUUACCUGAGUGUCAACUGCGUCACCUGUGUCACUGGGGUGUCACCUGGGUGACCU
rnacentral:lncRNA from 12 species